GUACACUUUUGAUUCCUCAGUAGGUAGGGACAACGUUCGAGAUCUCAUCCGACCGUCUAUUUCUCACUGAUUGGGAGAUUGGAGUGAGACAGAGGAGAGUGGAAUUUCUUGUGUAGGGGUGAAAUCCGUAGAUCUACGAAGGAACGCCAAAAGCGAAGGCAGCUCUCUGGGUCCCUACCGAUGCUGGGGUGCGAAAGCAUGGGGAGCGAACAGGAUUAGGUACGCUGGUAGUCCAUGCCGUAAACGAG
rnacentral:ncRNA from 1 species